UUAAGAGCGAGUUCACCUCUUAUUCCUGGAAGAAGAAAAGCAACGAUCUUUACGUACACAUAUCCAUGGGAUUCUCCGUGCUUUGACGGAGGGAAGGCAUAUGAGAAGAACCCCUUUCACCCAAACUCAGAAUCCUGAUGGAGCCAUCCAGAUGGGUCUUGCCGAGAAUCAGCUUUCCUUCGAUCUGAUGGAAGAGUGGAUGAAGAGCAAUCCUACGGCAUCCAUUUACACUUCAGAUGGGGUUGGCAAGUUCAAGGACAUCGCCAACGCCAAUUUCCAAUGACUCAUGACCUCCUCGAAUUCACACAAGCUGUUGCCGAGUUCAUGGGAAGGUCCGAGGUAAUAAACGGAAUUUGACCAGAAUCAUACUGACAUGAUUGAUGGAACGACCGGAGCGAGCGAGAUGCUCAUUUAUUGCUUUCCUGGAGACGCUUUCC